rnacentral:rRNA from 1 species
CCUACGGGCGGCAGCAGUGAGGAAUAUUGGUCAAUGGGCUUACGCCUGAACCAGCCAAGUCGCGUGAGGGAAGACUGCCCUAUGGGUUGUAAACCUCUUUUGCCGGGGAGCAACGGGCGCCACGUGUGGCGCCACUGAGAGUACCCGGAGAAAAAGCAUCGGCUAACCCCGUGCCAGCAGCCGCGGUAAUACGGAGGAUGCGAGCGUUAUCCGGAUUUAUUGGGUUUAAAGGGUGCGUAGGCGGAGCGUUACGUCAGUGGUCAAAUUGAGGGGCUCAACCCCUUCCCGCCAUUGAAACUGGCGCUCUUGAGUGGAAGAGAAGUAUGCGGAAUGCGUGGUGUAGCGGUGAAAUGCAUAGAUAGCACGCAGAACCCCGAUUGCGAAGGCAGCAUGCCGGCUUCCUACUGACGCUGAAGCACGAAAGCGUGGGGAUCGAACAGGAUUAGAUACCCUGGUAGUC